UACGUAGGGUGCGAGCGUUAAUCGGAAUUACUGGGCGUAAAGCGUGCGCAGGCGGUCUGUUAAGACAGAUGUGAAAUCCCCGGGCUUAACCUGGGAACUGCAUUGGUGACUGCAUCGCUCGAGUAUGGCAGAGGGGGGUAGAAUUCCACGUGUAGCAGUGAAAUGCGUAGAGAUGUGGAGGAAUACCGAUGGCGAAGGCAGCCCCCUGGGUCAAUACUGACGCUCAUGCACGAAAGCGUGGGGAGCAAACAGG
rnacentral:rRNA from 1 species